CUUCGCCCAAAAGGCGUCUAAACCAUGCUUUUAGGCGCCGCCCAAGGAUGGGGCCGCGGCCGAUCAGGUUGUUGGUGAGGUAACGGCUCACCAAGCCUAUAACCGGUACGGGCCGUGGGAGCGGGAGCCCGGAGAUGGGCACUGAGACAAGGGCCCAGGCCCUACGGNNNGCAGCAGUCGNNNAAACUCCGCAAUACACGANNNNGUGACGGGGCCAUCCCGAGUGCCGUCCGCUGAGGACGGCUUUUCCCCAGUGUAGACAGCUGGGGGAAUAAGGAGAGGGCAAGUCUGGUGUCAGCCGCCGCGGUAAUACCAGCUCUCCGAGUGGUGGGGACGCUUAUUGGGCCUAAAGCAUCCGUAGCCGGCUGGUCAAGUCCCCUGUUAAAUCCAACGAUUCAAUCGUUGGACUGCGGGGGAUACUGUCCAGCUAGGGGGCGGGA
rnacentral:rRNA from 1 species